AUUGAACGCUGGCGGCAGGCCUAACACAUGCAAGUCGAACGGUAACAGAAAGCAGCUUGCUGCUUUGCUGACGAGUGGCGGACGGGUGAGUAAUGUCUGGGAAACUGCCUGAUGGAGGGGGAUAACUACUGGAAACGGUAGCUAAUACCGCAUAACGUCGCAAGACCAAAGAGGGGGACCUUCGGGCCUCUUGCCAUCGGCUGUGCCCAGAUGGGAUUAGCCAGUAGGUGGGGUAAAGGCUCACCUAGGCGACGAUCCCUAGCUGGUCUGAGAGGAUGACCAGCCACACUGGAACUGAGACACGGUCCAGACUCCUACGGGAGGCAGCAGUGGGGAAUAUUGCACAAUGGGCGCAAGCCUGAUGGAGCCAUGCCGCGUGUAUGAAGAAGGCCUUCGGGUUGUAAAGUACUUUCAGCGGGGAGGAAGGGAGUAAAGUUAAUACCUUGGCUAAUUGACGUUACCCGCAGAAGAAGCACCGGCUAACUCCGUG
rnacentral:rRNA from 1 species